CAUGCAGGUCUAGGUGCACUCUGCACCCUGCUCCAGGAACUGGGAAGACUCGAGCAUGCGGAAUGCAGUUGAAACGCAUCUCUGAACCCCACUCCAGGAACUGGGAAGACUCGAGCAUGCAGAAUGCGGUUGAAACGCAUCUCUGAACCCCUUUUUGAGGAAGAAGAAGAAGGAAACAGAGAAACAGGAAGAGGAGGAGGAGGAAGACUUGUCUACCUUUUCUACGAGGGAGAAAGGCAUUUUACAAGACACAGAAGCCCCUAAGUUUGGAAUUCUCUGUCAGAAAUGGUGGAGAAGAGACUUUUUCAAGGUCCUGAAGGGUGACUACGGUGAUAGGAUUCAACGCACCACAUACAACAGACAUGUGGCCAAAUUCUCCUCUUCUUCAUUAGCCAGUACAUGAAAAAAGCAGAGGACG